rnacentral:rRNA from 1 species
AUUGAACGCUGGCGGCAUGCCUUACACAUGCAAGUCGAACGGCAGCACGGGUGCUUGCACCUGGUGGCGAGUGGCGAACGGGUGAGUAAUACAUCGGAACGUACCUUAUCGUGGGGGAUAACGCAGCGAAAGCUGUGCUAAUACCGCAUACGCCAUGAGGGGGAAAGCGGGGGAUCGCAAGACCUCGCGCGAUUAGAGCGGCCGAUGCCUGAUUAGCUAGUUGGUGGGGUAAAAGCACACCAAGGCGACGAUCAGUAGCUGGUCUGAGAGGACGAUCAGCCACACUGGGACUGAGACACGGCCCAGACUCCUACGGGGGGCAGCAGUGGGGAAUUUUGGACAAUGGGGGCAACCCUGAUCCAGCAAUGCCGCGUGAGUGAAGAAGGCCUUCGGGUUGUAAAGCUCUUUUGUCAGGGAAGAAACACCGGCUCUAACACAGUCCGGGAAUGACGGUACCUGAAGAAUAAGCACCGGCUAACUACGUGCCAGCAGCCGCCGUAA